UAAGUGUGGAAGAGCCGAGUUGAGCGAGUAUGAAAAAGACACGACGCAAAAUGCAUGCACUGUACGCCGAACGAUCCCAUAGCACCCAGUCAGCCUUGCCCGAGAGCACACACUGCGAAACCUCAGUCCACUCCACUGUAUCGCCCCAGGGCUAUAACACAGCCUAAGCUGCC
rnacentral:rRNA from 1 species